rnacentral:tRNA from 1 species
GCAUUGGUGGUUCAGUGGUAGAAUGCUCGCCUGCCACGCGGGCGACCCGGGUUCGAUUCUCGCCCAAUGCC